rnacentral:tRNA from 2 species
GCCCGGGUGGUGGAACAGGUAGACACGCGGCACUUAAAAUGCUGUGAGCGCAAGCUCGUGCCGGUUCGAGUCCGGCCCUGGGCA